rnacentral:lncRNA from 10 species
CAACUCUUAAUUGGCCCUCAAAACUUAGCCUACUUGCUUCUAUCUUCAGAAAGCCUUCCCCGACCUUGAUCCCACACCUUCUGCCCCACAACCCCAGGCUGGGUUUGGUCCUUCUCUGCUCCCAUGGCACCUACUUCCUUCCCUAUUACCAUUUACCACAUUUUCACUACCAACUCCUGAAUGACUUGAUGAAACUACUAUUUAAGGAAGGCAAUAAGUGAAGAAUAUAUAAGAAUUAUCCGAGGAACAGUUCUCUAAUAACGUUAGGCUUGGUAUAGAAGAUGCAGAGACAUGCUAAAAUUUCUCCCCCAAUUAUUGCCAAGCAGAAACUUGGACGAUCGA